AUACGUAGGGGGCGAGCGUUGUCCGGAAUGAUUGGGCGUAAAGGGCGCGUAGGCGGCCAUGUAAGUCUGAAGUGAAAGUCCUGUUUUUAAGAUGGGAAUUGCUUUGGAUACUGUGUGGCUUGAGUGCAGGAGAGGUAAGUGGAAUUCCCAGUGUAGCGGUGAAAUGCGUAGAGAUUGGGAGGAACACCAGUGGCGAAGGCGACUUACUGGGCUGUAACUGGCGCUGAGGCGCGAAAGUGUGGGGAGCAAACAGAAUGAGAUACACUGAUAGUCCACACUGAACUCAAUGAAUGCUAGGUGGAGGGGGUAACGCCCCCUUCUGCGCCGUAGUAAACACAAUAAGCAUACCGCCUGGGGAGUACGGCCGCAAGGUGGAAACUCAAAGAAAUUGACGGGU
rnacentral:rRNA from 1 species